rnacentral:rRNA from 1 species
AGAGUUUGAUCAUGGCUCAGAAUCAACGCUGGCGGCGCGCUUAACACAUGCAAGUCGAACGAGAAAGGUGGAGCAAUCUACUGAGUAAAGUGGCGCACGGGUGAGUAACACGUGGGUAAUCCGCCCUUUGGUGGGGAAUAACCCUGGGAAACUGGGGAUAAUACCGCAUAAGUCCGCAAGGAGAAAGUCGCAAGACGCCGAAGGAGGAGCCCGCGGCCGAUUAGCUAGUUGGUAGGGUAAUGGCCUACCAAGGCAUCGAUCGGUAGCCGGCCUGAGAGGGCACACGGCCACACUGGCACUGAGACACGGGCCAGACUCCUACGGGAGGCAGCAGUGGGGAAUCUUGCACAAUGGGGGAAACCCUGAUGCAGCGACGCCGCGUGAGCGAUGAAGCCCUUCGGGGUGUAAAGCUCUUUCGGCAGGAACGAUAAUGACGGUACCUGCAGAAAGAAG